GUCGGGAGCGGAGUUAACCCUAGAAUUGGAGAAUUGGAUCAGGUGAUGAGAUGAGUGGGAGACGAGAGAGCGAAGGCGGAGGCAGCCUUGGGUGGUGGACGCGCGAGCCGCUCUUCUUCUGCUUGGUUUCUUUUCAUUCUCCUCCUCCAAUCUAGACUAUGUGGGCUUUGUUAUUAUAUGCAUCGAUUCCGGCGUCGUCCGGGGUGAUCUACUUGACAGAAGAGAGUGAGCACACAGCGGCGUGGGUGUCGCCGGGAUGCCGUCGCUGUUGCGUGCUCACGUCUCUCUCUGUCAUCCCUGUCUCCCUGGCGGUGCCGGAUGAGAGAAAUCUGCUCUCCUUUACCCUUUUUCUUCUUUCCUUGCUUCUUUGAUCUUGUGUGAUGAGGGUUGCUGACGGUGACGAUGAUGCGAUUUGGUGAAAGAGGCAACCUUGCGUGGGUAUAUCGAUGGUGGAUCUGAUUGGACGCUCGUGCGAGGCAGGCUUUUCCUUUUCCUCCUCCUCCUCCUCGAACUUCGAUGCUGUCUUGACUAGUUUCGCUUGUCUGUUUAAUCAGCUUGGUUUCCCAAGUACUGCUACUACUACUAGUUUUGGGUCUAUUUCAGACUUGGAGAGACUGGAACUUAUGGAUCAUGGAAGCGUGACUUUUGAGACGAUUGUUUCGGAUAAGGGCGAAGUACAUGAUCCAUCCAUAUGCCUAUUGUCUUCUCUCUCCUUUCCUUCUCCGCUUUCUUCCUCUUUUCCUUUCUAGUCUUCGUCAAGAUCCAUGCUCAAACCCUCAAGAAUUCGUUGCGUUCUUCUUGGGCGUAGAUCAACUGUAAUAAUCGUGUAGUGGAUGCAGCACCUCUCACUUUGGAGCUAUCAGGUCACUUAUCUCCACUUGUUGCUUCAGUUAAAAUUUGCUUCGCUCCUGCAUCGAAACCACCAUUGACGUGGUCCUCCAUUCUCUCGCUGGAACUCGGAUUUCGUUCCAUGGUCGACAUUCUAUACCAGUGUUUGGUAGAGAAGCAAGUUGAGGAAAAGACUUGUCUGCUUUUAGGUUCAUGCAGUGGAGGUUCUGGUUUCUGUGGUCUCAGCUACUCGCUCCCAGAAAGUUCUCCUUUUGCUUAAGAAACUCGAUCACAGUGAUAGUAGCUGGAAAGGCCAAACUCCAAUGGAAUUAUUGCCGAAUGUUACUAUAAGAAGCAGAUUCUUUUCCUGCUAAGUGUUCCUUUCAUCUUGUCCAGACUAUCUAUUGCUUGAUGUCCUUACAGAUCUUUCUAGGCUAUCUUCCGGAGGGCUUUAAUCUAAUUGAAUAUCUGCAAUUUUGUGAGGGAACCGAGACAAGGGCAAUCCAGUAUGAAUGAUAUUGAUCUUGUCCUUUCCUCAUUGAAUCCUCAAUUCACAUUAUGCCUUGCUUUCGACAAAGCUUUUGUUUGCGUCCAUUUCGCGCGUCUUAGUGCUUUUGUUCUGCCUUUUCAUCAAGCUAGUGAUACAGUAUACGUUCGAAGUUGCUAUGACAAGAACUAAACCGAGUUGAGCAACAUUAUCAUGUUCAUUAUCUGGGUUUUACUAUUUGCUGCAUAUGUGACGAAGACAUUGAGAUAAAUUUGAACUCAUCAAGAGACAUAUACGCAUCCUAUACUCUCUUUUCAUUUUUAUUGCACUUUCUUGUCCGGCAAUAUGGUGGUAACAAAUUGUCAAGCAAGGAUUUCGGCCUUCUAUGUUGAUGUACAUAAGCAUUAAACGUCCAAAUACAUUAUCUUUCAUUACCUUCGAAUAGAACUUUUCCAUGGUUACAAGGUUCUAAAUUGCCAAACUUCAGCAAUGUACCAGUUCUCCGAGAGAUUGAUGGAAUGGUUCUCAUACAUUGGCUAAUAUCAGGAAUAGCUCAACAGCAUAAAAAUUUUGUUUCCUUAUACAGUGCUUGUAACUGAUCUCCAUGAAAAGGACUCUCUCUUAUUUCAGAGGGGAAACUACAAGGGAAGCUGCAGUGCAGUCGAACAGAUGGGCAGAAAGCGUGUUGGUCGUCAUGAAUCUAUCAAAUUGGAUCCAAGAGCUGAAGCCUAAGCCAUGGAAGAAGUGGAGAGAAGAGAUGUCUACCGAUCGCUGCCACCACCGUAACUUUGCCAUGAUGACCAAAGAAACGCUUGAUGUCAAAUAUUUUGGCUCACAGAAGCAAGGAAAUCAUGGACAUGAGAGGCUUCAAAGAAGAUGACCAAGUAGUAGAGGAGUACUUGCUUGUUCGGACCAUUAAGUACACUUGUUAUUCCGUCUUUUUCUCAUGAGAAUUUGUAGUGUACUGUCUCACAACCUUUGCUGCAUUUGAGGCUUCAACAGUCGAGGGAGGGAAUUGUCAUCCUUCGUUGUAGAGUUGCAGUGUGCAAAUCAUCCUUGGUUUUGGUGUUGCAAUGAGCAUUGUUUUAAUGAAAAAAAAUGGGCAUUUUAGAUUCCUCAACUCUCCAUGG